UGCAACUGCACCUGCCUUUUUCUCAUGG
rnacentral:piRNA from 1 species